rnacentral:rRNA from 1 species
CACCGCGGUUAUACGAGAGGCCCAAGUUGACACAAGCCGGCGUAAAGGGUGGUUAAUAAAAUAUAAACUAAAGCCGAACACCUUCAAGACCGUUAUACGUAUCCGAAGGCAGGAAGACCCCCAACGAAAGUGGCUUUAACCAAAAUGAAACCACGAAAGCUACGAUA